rnacentral:rRNA from 1 species
UACGAAGGGGGCUAGCGUUGUUCGGAAUUACUGGGCGUAAAGCGUAUGCAGGCGGAUCGUUAAGUCAGGGGUGAAAUCCUGGAGCUCAACUCCAGAACUGCCUUUGAUACUGAAGAUCUUGAGUUCGGGAGAGGUGAGUGAACUGCGAGUGUAGAGGUGAAAUUCGUAGAUAUUCGCAAGAACACCAGUGGCGAAGGCGGCUCACUGGCCCGAUACUGACGCUGAGGCACGAAAGCGUGGGGAGCAAACAGGG